rnacentral:rRNA from 1 species
UACGUAGGGCGCGAGCGUUAUCCGGAAUUAUUGGGCGUAAAGAGCUCGUAGGCGGUUUGUCGUGUCUGCCGUGAAAGUCCGGGGCUUAACCCCGGAUCUGCGGUGGGUACGGGCAGACUAGAGUGCAGUAGGGGAGACUGGAAUUCCUGGUGUAGCGGUGAAAUGCGCAGAUAUCAGGAGGAACACUGAUGGCGAAGGCAGGUCUCUGGGCUGUAACUGACGCUGAGGAGCGAAAGCAUGGGGAGCGAACAGG